AGUAAAUAAGAAAUUAAAGUAUUAACAAUUGAUUUUUUCAAUAAUUUGCACAAUUGUUCAUUAUGGAAUAUUUAGAAAGCUUUUACAAUACUAGCAACAAUGCAACAUAUAGAAGAAAAUUACAAAUUAAUUAAUUAAAGCAAGAACCCCAAACUCCCAAUUCAAGUAAAUAAAAAAGUAAAAGUAUUCAUCCACAUUUUUUUUCAAUAAUUUGCUCAAUUACAAUUUACACAUCAUAGAGAGGGCAUAAAAAAAGCAUAUCACAACAAUAUCCAUUUAAUAACAAAAGCAUAUCACAAUCACAAAUUCACAAUACCCAUUUCAUAAAAACAUAUCACAAUCACAAUACCCAUUAGUAUAUCACAACAAUGCCCAUUUAAUAACAUAAGCAUGUAACAAUUAUAGAUUUACAAUAUCCAGUUAAUAAAAAUCAUAUCACAACAAUAC
rnacentral:misc_RNA from 1 species